rnacentral:misc_RNA from 1 species
AAGACUAUAGACCUGCGGAGUACCUGCGGAGGGAUCAUUAAAGAGUUGCAAGACUCCCAAACCAUUGUGAACGUUACCCACACCGUUGCUUCGGCGGGCGGCCCGGGCCCUGCCCGGCGCCCCCCGGCCCCUCGCGGGCGCCCGCCGGAGGUAAACCAAACUCUUGAAUUGUAUGGCCUCUCUGAGUCUUCUGUACUGAAUAAGUCAAAACUUUCAACAAUGGAUCUCUAGAUCGGAAGA